GGCCGUGGAUCCAGACGCACUCGCCACCUGCCCGCCUCCUCCUCCUCGGAGGCGAAACCAGGCGGAGGAGGGCGAGCAGGAGAAGGCAAAUAGCAGCCCCGAGGGGGCGAGCGCGGCGGAAGGUGCGGGUCGGCCCCGGACUGGGGGUCACUCACCGCAGGCCGGGGCGGUACACAGCGGCCAUGAAUCUCUUCUUUGGACCUCUGGCCUGGUCAUUCUCUCCACAUUCCCCUGGAGAAUGCAUCUGCCCCACCCAACCACCACCACAAAGUCCUCUGGUAAUUUCAAGUUAUGUCUCCAGCCAGACAUCUCUCUUCAGCUUGAGACCACGGGUAUCACCCCAAAGGCCAUAGCACCUCAAACUCAAUGUGGCUAUGCUAAUUUCAGGUGGACUUCUGCUAUUUGCAACAGAAACAGCCCUAAUUCUCAGAUUUCUCAGAGUUCUGUACUGGAACAUAAUGGGACAAAAGAGCUGGCCUCCAGCCUUGGGCUUGCUGCUGACCCUCAUCUCUUCCACCCAGGCUCCAUCCUGGACUCAACCUCAUGUGGCCCUCUGGAUCAGCCCUUGGAUGUCUCACAGACCCGCUGCAAUGGAUGCUGGGGAGUGUGGCCCAGAUCCCCCCCUUCAGGAUCACGGCAUUCAUUGAAACUGAGCAGGACCCCGUGGAGCCCUCCCAGGAACUAACGCCCCCACCCAGGUGGAGAAUGGUAACUUCAUGCUGAGCACAAGAUCCUUGGAACACUGCCCUGUUAUCUCACCACCAGCCAGUCAGAAGAAAAGUCACAUACCCUGCAGCUCCCACCCCAGAUUUUGCCUAUAAAGACUCCCAGAAAACCACUGGGAAGUUUGGGGUUUUUGAGCACAAGCCACCCUUUCUCCUUGAUUGGCCCUGCAAUAAACCUCUCUCUACUCCAAA